CAGAAAUCAAGAGCCACCUUGGAGCUGACUUUCCAUGAGGUCCCUGCUCCAGGUGUGUCCUUGACAAAAGGGACUCCAAGCCCUGCUUCUAACCCUAAGCCAGUGGCUCUCAACUAGUGGCGAUUGUGCCCCCCAGAGGACACUGGAGACUAGGCCAUGUCUGGAGACAUUCGGGGUUGUCAUAGCUGGGGAUGCUGGCUCCUACCGGCAUCUAGGGGGUGGAGAGGUCAGGGAUGCUGCUGAACGUCCUGCAGUGCCCAGGACAGCCCCCACCACAGUCACCCAGCCCCGAAUGUCACUAGUGCCAAGACUGAGGAAUCCUGACCCCUGAUUCCCCCUAAACCCUGCCACCUCCUCUCACACGGGGCCUGGCCCCACCAACUUAGCGGGGACUUUGUCAGAGGCCAGAGAUUCCAAAUCAAUGCAUCUCAGUGGCUAAGGUCCAUAUUAACUACAUCUCACUUGCUUCUGACAGUGACACAGAUCAGAUGCUGCUGCUGUCGUGGCUGCCACCACAAGAAACAAGAGUGUUGGAGUGCAAAUUCAUUAUCCAGCUGUUAAGAGCGACAGAGCAUGCACACAUCUCUCCCCGACCGGGUUAUCUGAGAGCCAGCCCUGCUGUAUGAUUGAGUGGCUGCCAGCCUCCUCUUCUCUGUAACCUUGACACGCCAGAGCCGGGCCUCCAGUGCACAGGCUAAAAAUCCUAAAGGCAACGGCGGCGGCAACAAAUAGAUGGGUUAAUUUGUUUCAUGCCCCCGUUGUCACCAGGCUCUCGCAGAAUAAAACCACCACCACCACCACCACAACCUCCAUUUGUGGGGUUUAAUACCCCAGCUGCUGGGAAUCAGAUUCAGCCGGAGGAAGAAAAUGUGACGUCGAUGCAGAGAUCCAUUUAUUCGGGCCUCCUCUUCUCAUCAGCAGGCAGGGACAGUGCAUCGACCCAGAGGCCUGGGAGAGGCAGGAAUAAUGAUGCGCCAGAGAGAAUUCUGGCUUCGGGAGAAUCAGAGACUUAACAAAUAUAAUGCUGACAAUAUGACCAUUAUGACACAAGAAACUAUUUGUAUCCAUUGUCCUUUCCUCGCCUGAAAUAACCUAUUGCUUCCUACUCGGUGAUGACAUUUUUCAGGCACCAAGAGUUGCCCGUGGAACAAGAAGUACAUAAACUUCCUUGCUUUGUAGAAAACAGAUUCCGUUUUAUAAGUGGUUUAGUAUUUAGACACUACCUCCAAAGGUUGGGAAGGCCCUUACAAAGCAACAGGAGUCGGCCAGAAUGAAAAGAAUCAGCCGAUGGCUGGGAGGCGGAGGCUUCAGUGAGCCGAGAUCGCACCACUGCACUCCAGCCUGGGCGACAAAAGUGAGACUCCAUCUCAAAAAAAUAAAAAUAAAAAAAUAAAAAUAAAUAAAGGAAUGAUAGACUUGCCAAUCUGCCUUGGAGAAGCAACAGACGGCUAAAUCGUAGGGUUCCUGGCAUUGCAUUUGCCCACAUUUGCCAGCAGAUGGCGACGUGAUCCUGCAAUGUUGCAUUAGUGCAACCCCGGGCAAUGAAAGGUCAGGGACAGGGCACCUGAAGCUGGCUACUUGGAGACUUGGGAACCUCAUCUAUUGCUUUGCAGAGGUCCGAACACCACUAAACACAUUUGGGAGGGAGGAACAGAGGAAGGUCGACCAAUGACGUGUUUAAAACAGCUGCAAGGAUCGGAUGAAAUUUGCAAUUGGCUUGAGCUUGAACUCCAGAUAAUCUCCAGAAUAAAGACAUGGGGGUGGGAGUUAAAACAAAGAACUUGAUGCAAAUUAGGGUCAAACAAUGAUCCCCUUAUGGCACAUCCAUUCCAAGGAAUAUCUUCAGUCAUUAGAAAACCAAGUGGUGGUCUGAGCACGGUGGCUCAUGCCUGUAAUCCCAGGGCUUUGAGAGGCUGAGGCAGGCAGAUCACUUGAGGCUGAUUCAAAACCAGCCUGGCCAACAUGGCAAAACCCCAUCUUUACUAAAAACACAAAAAUUAGCCGGGCAUGGUGGCAUGCACCUGUAAUCCCAGCUACUCUGGAGGCUGAGGCAGGAGAAUCUCUUGAACCUCAGAGGCAGAGGUUGCAGUGAGCUGAGACCACACCACUGCACUCCAGCCUGGGUGACCCAGUGAGACUCUGUCUCAAAAAAAGAAAAAAAGAAAAAAAAAUUAGACAAAUUGAACUUCAUCAAAAUUAAACUUCUAUGCUUCCAAGAACGCCAUCAAAAAAGUGAAAAAAACCAACCACAGAAAGGGAGGAAAUAUUUGCAAAUCUGAUCUAGAAUAUAUAAAGAAUUCUAACAACUCAAAAAUGAAAAGACAUAAAAGCUAAUUUUAAAAUGGGCAAAGGAUUUAGAUACAUCUCUCUCCAGAGAAGAUACACAAAUGGCCAAUAAGCACAUGAAAAGAUGUUCAACAUCAUCAGCCAUCAGAGAUGUGCAAGUCAAAACCAUCCUGCGAUAGACCCCACUUUACAUCCACUAGGAUGGCUAUAAUUUUAAAAAGCAGACAAUGACAAGUGUUGGCAAGGAUGUGAUGAGAAAUUGGAAUCCUUGUACAUUGUGGGUGGAAAUGCAAAAUGGUAUAGCUGCUUUGGCAAACAGUCUAGUAGUUCCUCAAAAGGGGAAACACUGAUCAAAUUUGACCCAGCAAUUCCACUCUUUCAUAUCCCAAGAAAACUAAAAACAUAAUUCAUGUCCACGAAAAACUUGGACAUGAAUUUUAAAGCAGCAUUAUUGGCCAGGUGUAGUGGCUCACGCUUGUAAUUCUAGCACUUUGGGAGGCCAAGGCGGGCAGAUCACUUGAGGUCAGGAGUUCAAGACCAGCCUGGCCAACAUGGCGAAACCCUGUCUUUACUAAAAAAAAAAAAAAUACAAAAAUUAGCCAGGCAUGGUGGCACAUGCCUGUAAUCCCACUAUUUGGGAGGCUGAGGCAGGAGAUAACUUGAACCCGGGAGGCAGAGGUGGCAGUGAGCCAAGAUCGCACCACUGCACUCCAGCCUGGGCAAUAGAGCGAGACUGUCUCAAAAAAAAAAAAAAAAAGAAAUAAAGAAAAGAACAGAAAAAAAUCAUUAUUCAUGAGAGCCAAAAGCGGAAACAAUCCAGAUGUCCAUCAACAGAUGAGUAUUUUAACAAAAUGUGGUAUAGCCACACAAUGGAAUACUAUUCGGUCAUACAAAGGGAUGGAGUACUGGUCCAUGCUACAACAUGAUUGAACCUUGAAAACAUCAUUUUAAGUGAAGGAAGCCAGACACAAAAGACUCUACUAAAAAGACCCUGUCUCCACUAAAAAUACAAAAAUUAGCCGGGCAUGGUGGCAUGUGCCUGUAGUCCCAGCAACUCGGGAGGUUGAGGCAGGAGAAUCACCCAAACCCGGGAGGUGGAGGUUGCAGUGAGCUGAGAUUGUGCCACUGCACUCCAGCCUGGCUGACAAGAGCGGAACUCCAUCUCAAUCAAUCAAUCAAUCAAUCAAUCAAUAAAAUUGAUAGUGGUAAUGGAUGCACAACUCUGUGAAUAAAGUCAUUGACUUGUAUACUUCAAAUGGGUGAAUUGUAAGUAAAUUAUAUCUCAAUAAAGCUGUUACCAAAAAAUCAAAUGCUAGACUAUUUAACAUGGAAAACCAUUCCCAUUACAUUGUUAGGUGAAGAAAGGGAGAGAGAGAGAAUGGGGCCCCAGGGCUGCUGGGUUCCAUAGCUCCCUGUGAAUGAUGGCCCUUGGAGAUGCAGAAUGAAAUGUGGGAUUUCACCCCUCUCCAUGAUCCAUGCAUGCGUGGUGGAAAUUGACUCUGGCUGCCCAACUCCGCAGUGGCGUGCAACUCACUUUCUCUCCAACUCAUCCUUCAAAGCCCUUUAAGGGAUAUUUGGUUACAACAUGGUAAAAUAUAAUGAGAUUCCAAUUUUUGUUUCUAUUAAAUAUAUUAAUAUAUAAGCGCAUGUGUGCAUGAAAAUAGAUACACAUCAAAGGAUAACAGUGGUUGUCUACAGGUAGAAAGGUUAUGGAGCUUUUAUUUUCUCCUUCAUAUUUGUAUUGCUCUAAUUUUCUGUAAUGCAGUGUAUUAAUUUGCAAUUAGAAAAAUAUAUAUAUGUAUUUUAAAAUGUGUCUAUAACCCCAACACUUUGGGAGGCCAAGGUGGGCAGAUUGCUAGAGUCUAGGAGUUCAAGACCACUUUGAGCAACAUGGCAAAACCCCGUCUCUACAAAAAUACAAAAAAUUAGCCGGGCAUGGUGGUGUGCACUUGUAGUCCCAGAUACUCCGGAGGCUGAGGUGGGAGGAUCACUUGAGCCUGGGAGGUUGAGGCUGCAGUGAACCGUGAUCACACCAGUGUACUCCAGCCUGAGUGACAGAGCAAGACCCUGUCUCAAAAAAAAAAAAAAUUAAAAGAUAAAAAUAAAAACAUAUUGUUUUAUUCUGUAAGUCUUCUCUGCCUGCCUCACUCACAUAGUAACACUCCUUUUAUCCUCACAUUUAUAACCCUGUUUAACAGGUAGUGGCAUAAUUGCUUAUCUUCUCCAACAGACAUCUGAAGACAGAUAUCAUUCCUAAUUUAUCAUUCCAUCCAAAACCCAGAAAUGCCUGCCUUUGAUAUGCCUGGUGAACAUAGUACGCAUUACCAAAUACUAAGCAGUAUCUUCUGUGUGAAGCCUACAUUAAAAUUUUAUUCAAGACUUUGUACCCUUUGAGGAGACAGUAAUACAGUCCCUUCAAUGCUUUAUAUUAUCAUGAAGGAUUAUUUCCCUUUUUGCCCUUGCUGCCAGGAAGCUUACUUGCAUCAACUGUGUUGCUGGCUUACAGUUGCACAUCUGAUUCUAACUUUCUUCCUUGAGUCUAAUGUGUGGCAUUUCCUCAACUUCUUUUUGAAAAUAAACCAGCUACACUCAGUGUAGCUCUAUGCAUGAGGUAGGAAUAAAUAAAUAAAUAGUGGCUACUCUGUUGAGGAUAAAAUAUUUUCUUUGGAAAUCCAAAGUGGUAUUUUAUCCUAAGAGGGAUGGUAGCAUCAACAUCUAAGGGUGCUCAGGCACAAUGUGUCCAGAACCAGAGGCUUGGAGCAACUCAGUUUUAAGCCCCGGAAGGGAUGAAGCAUCUUCCAGUUCUGUAUACUCCCCAAGUACCUACACAGAGCUGGGCGAAGAGUAAGCACCCUUUAAAUACCUGCUGCGUGAAUACUCAGGGCUCAAAAUUCCGUAUCCUUGCCAUGCAAGGGGUCACAAAGUUUAACCCAGGGUUUCUCAGCCUUAGCACUUCUGACACUCAGGCCAGUGAGUUCUUUGUUGUGGGCUGGUUGUCCUGGGUGUUGUGGGAUGUUGAACAACAUCCUUGGCCUCUACCCACCAGAUGCCAGUAGCACCCCUGCACAUAAAUUUUUUGACAAUCAAAAAUGUCUUCGAACAUUGCCAAAUAUCCCCUGGGGGCAAAAUCUCCCUCUGGUUAAACAGCAUGGGUUUUUGCCAGGUGUGGUGGCAUGGGCCUGUAGUCCCGGCUACUUGGGAGGCUGAGGUGGGAGGAUCACCUGAGAUCAGGGAUUGGAGACCAGCCUGGGCAACACAGCAAGAUCCCAUCUCUAAAAAAAAAAAAAUUAAAAAUUAGUCAGGCAUGGUGGCUCAUGCCUGUAGUCCCAGCUACUCAGGUGACUAAGAUGGGAGGAUCACUUGAGCCCAGGAGUUCGAGGCUGCAGUGAGCAGUGAUUGUGCCACUGCACUCCAGCCUGGGCCACAAAGCAAAACUUUGUCUCAAAACAAACAAACAAAGAAACAAAAACAACAACAAAAUGUCUUCAAACAUUGCUUGAAGUGGGUGGUGUAAAAUCUCCCACUGAUUAAACAGCACUGGUUUCAAGCAACACCUUCCAGGUCCUAGAAGCCACCAACUACAAUUCUAGAAUACCAGGGCUGGAAGGACCCCAUGCAUUAUCCUGUUGACAUCCUUUCAUAGACAGGCCAAUGGGCCCAGAAAUAAGAGACUGAGGCACAGCCCCUGCCCACAGGAAACAACAAAGGGUGAUCAAAACGUGCCAAGGCAACGCGCUGCCCCGGCCCUGCUUGCACGCAGAUUGGAGUUGCAGGUGGCUCCUCCAUGUCAUGGUGUAAACUUGUGCUAAAAUUAACCUGAGCGUCUGAGACUUCCUCUAUAAAAUGACAAAAAAGAACACCUGGC
rnacentral:lncRNA from 1 species